AAGAAGAUCUUGGCUAAACUAUAAAAAGUGAGUUGUUAAGACUGAGGAUCCUCUCAACCUCAACUCCUAUAUAUACUAGGUCUUAAGAAGCUUCUUCAGAAGUUUUCAUGAUGCUUGGAAAUAAAGCAAGCCUAAGAUCCUUCUUUGGUAAUUUCCUAAAUCAUCUAAAGCCUCCUAAAACCUUCUAGGAUUUCCUAUUACUUUCUACAACUUUCUUAGAAUCUGUUGGAACCUUUUAGAAUCUUCUUAGAGCCUAUUGGAACCUUCUAGGAUCUACAAGAACCUUCUUAGAACCUUC
rnacentral:lncRNA from 1 species